rnacentral:misc_RNA from 1 species
GAUGAAGAAGGUAGCGAAAUGCGAUAAGUAAUGUGAAUUGCAGAAUUCAGUGAAUCAUCGAAUCUUUGAACGCACAUUGCGCCCGCCAGCAUUCUGGCGGGCAUGCCUGUUCGAGCGUCAUUUCAACCCUCAAGCUCUGCUUGGUGUUGGGGCCCUACGGUUGACGUAGGCCCUUAAAGGUAGUGGCGGACCCUCUCGGAGCCUCCUUUGCGUAGUAACUAACGUCUCGCAUUGGGAUUCGGAGGGACUCUUGCCGUAAAACCCCCAAAUUUUCUAAUGGUUGACCUCGGAUCAGGUAGGAAUACCCGCUGAACUUAAGCAUAUCAAUAAGCGGAGGA